rnacentral:rRNA from 1 species
CAUGAUAUCAGUGGGAAAGGAGCAAUCCGCUGUAAGAUGGCCUUGCGUCUGAUUAGAUAGUUGGUAAGGUAACGGCCUACCAAGUCGACGAUCAGUAGCCGGACUGAGAGGUUGAACGGCCACAUUGGGACUGAGAUACGGCCCAGACUCCUACGGGAGGCAGCAGUCGGGAAUAUUGCGCAAUGGAGGAAACUCUGACGCAGUGACGCCGCGUAUAGGAAGAAGGCUUUCGGAUUGUAAACUAUUGUCGUUAGGGAAGAGAAAGGACAGUACCUAAGGAGGAAGCUCCGGCUAACUACGUGCCAGCAGCCGCGGUAAUACGUAGGGAGCAAGCGUUAUCCGGAAUUAUUGGGUGUAAAGGGUGCGUAGACGGGUUAACAAGUUAGUUGUGAAAUCCCUCGGCUCAACUGAGGAACUGCAACUAAAACUAUUAAUCUUGAGUGCAGGAGAGGUAAGUGGAAUUCCUAGUGUAGCGGUGAAAUGCGUAGAUAUUAGGAGGAACACCAGUGGCGAAGGCGACUUACUGGACUGUAACUGACGUUGAGGCACGAAAGUGUGGGGAGCAAACAGGAUUAGAUACCCUGGUAGUCCACACCGUAAACGAUGGAUACUAGGUGUAGGUUAUAUUAAGUAAUCUGUGCCGUCGCAAACGCAAUAAGUAUCCCACCUGGGGAGUACGGCCGCAAGGUUGAAACUCAAAGGAAUUGACGGGGGCCCGCACAAGCAGUGGAGUAUGUGGUUUAAUUCGAAGCAACGCGAAGAACCUUACCAGGGCUUGACAUAUACAGGAAUAAUUAAGAGAUUAAUUAGUUCUUCGGAACUUGUAUACAGG